ACGCCCUGCUCAAAGGAAUUGAUUCUUUAGGGACCAAGUGGAAGAGGCAGGGUGGGGUGGAAGAGGCAGGGUGAGAUGGGGUCUCCAGCUUAGAUGAGCCUCCUUAGGAACUUUGGGUGGGAAAGAGAAGUCCAGAAGAGUCUAGGGCAUCUCCUUGUCACCCAGGGAACCCUGGGGAUGGGGAUCUGGGAGACCUUUUGGCGAGGGAAUCCCUUUCCUAAGUAACCUGAUGCCUGAGAAGGUCACUCCAGUGGCCCAAAGGCUCAGGAAACCCUGUUGCUAGGGAGUCUUUCCUCUUAGCAACCAGGGUAGGGGGGGUCUUGAGAUACAGAAGGCCUCACUGAGCCCCAUUGUUAGGGAAGGUCCCCCUAGCAACCGGGAGACCCAGGAGGGGGAUGAGACCAUGGGGCUGGGGCCAGGGGCCAGAGCCUCAGGCGGGGUCCCCUGGUUCCACGGGGUUCUGAGAGUGGCUCUUCCACUCAGGCCACCUUCUCUCUACCGGGCCCCUGCUGAGAUUGGAGGAAUGGUGGAGGGCACUCCUAAGCGAGGAGGUCGCAGUUCCCCUCCUGCCUGGUGGCCAGAGGGUGGGGGCUGGGGAAGGAGUCCCUUGGGUGGGGAAAAGGGGGAUCAUCCAGCCUCCAUUUUGCUCUCCCCCAGUGGCUGUGGAGAGACUUGGUUCCCAAGAGGAGGAAGCCAGACUGGGGGCUGGGUUGGGACCACGAUUCCUGGUUCACCCUGUCUGAACACCCACUCAGCUUUGCAGGGAAUCUCCUCUCCCCUGGGGCAGUCUCUAUUUGGGCUACAACUCCUGAGUCUGAGGGACAAGGGGGUGGGGAGGCCUUGCACCUGAAUUAGAAGAAACCUAGGAAUUGCAGGGUCAACUCCUGGGUCUGAGGGAGGAGGGGCUGGGGGGACCACUGGAUCUGGGGAGGAGAGGCUGGGGGUACCACUGAGUCUGGGGGAGGAGGGGCUGGAGGAUCAUUGGGUGUGGGGGGCUGGAGGGAACCCCUGGAUCUGAGGAGCUGGGGGGACCCCUGGGCCUGAGGGAAGAGGGGCUGUGGGGACCCUUGGUCUGAGGGAGGAGGGGCUGGGGGCCUGGCCCCCUGGUCUGAGUGGGAACAAUCCGGGAGCCGGACCCCAUUCCCAGUAAGCCCAGGAGGCUGACUCCCUGUCUUACCCGGCUCUCCUGUAAACAUCCUGGUGUGUGCUGAGUGGGCCCCGGGCUGCCUUCGUCAGAGAUGACACAGGUUUGGGCUGCCUCUGUGGCUGGACUGCCCCGUCACCCCCCAGAGGCCAGACAGGACCCCCCAGGGACAGACAGACGGACACACACAGCCUCGGACCUGCUGACCUCACACCCUGCCAGCCCGGCUUCCCCCAGGCCAGCACAUGCACAGGGACUCUCUGCCCCCCACGUCCCGCUUCAUCUCCCCCGGGAGCUUCUGGCAGCCUGGCUCCCCACCCCGUCUCUGAGCUGGCCUCGUGUGUCCACCGUUCCUGGCUUUGCUGCCUUCUCGUCCCUCUGCGUCUCUGUGCUCCUGUUUCUAUUUGUCUCUGUUGCCUUCUGUCAUUUCUCGGGAUUUCCCAACCCUGCCUCUGGGUUCUGGUUCUCUUUUCCUGUCUUCACCUCUCUCUCUCUCCCUCUCUCUCUAUUUCUCUCUCCCCUUGUUUCUGCAGAAGUCACCCAGCCAGGUGUCCCCCCACUGGCCUGGGGAAGACCCAGGAGUCCCGAGCAAUCCCCUGCCCUCCUGCCACCCCAUAUGCCUCCACUCCUGCAGCCACACUGGGGGGGAUGAAGUCUGACCCCACAACCCCCAGGUCUCAGGUUCUGCUGCAACUGACCGCCCGGCGCUCACCCACUGCGUGCCUGGGUGGGCAUUGAGACCAUCGCCCCGAGCCUGAGCCUGUGUGUCCCUCUCCCACCGGACACCUCUCCUGCCUCUAUCUCCCCGAGUGGCGCUGUCCGCUGGCCAUGCCCCCCAUCCUCACUCCAUCUCUCCUGCUCACAGCUCCACCUCUCCCCCAACCUCCCCGAGUCUGCCAAAGGCUACAUCCUUUUGUCUCCCAGAUGUGUUAAUAAAAAUUAACGAGGAGAAAAACGCUGGUUUACAGUGA